rnacentral:miRNA from 1 species
AGGUUCCCAGUUCACAUUCAUUGCUGUCGGUGGGUUGGUGACACGGUCAACUCGCUGGCCGAUGGAUGGUAACCGUGUCC